UCUUGACAUCACUGACGCUGAUGGCGCCUUGCCGCCAGUCGUGGGACUGGUGACGAGCAGGGGACAGGACGGGUGCCAGGGGAUUCUCCAGAGUCUGAGAGAAGACGACGGUGGAGUAGUCGGAGGCGCAGGAGGAGAGCGAUGGUCCCAGCAGCUCCAGUACCGGCGUCAGUGUUGACCUGCAUGAAGAUGUCGUGGUUACCGGGCGACAGGUUCUCCAGAGAGUAAUGGUGAACAUCACCAGGCACAAAGACGCCUGGAUGAAAGGAGGAGAAAGGUACAUUAUAACACCAGUGUGUGUGUGUGUGUGUGUGUGUGUGUGUGUGCCACUCACUCCUAGUUGGCUGGUGAGCUGUGGUGUAGUGGAGUGUGUAGUUGCGGAUGAAACCAUGAAGCAGCUCCACUGGUACGGGACUCCAGCUGAGCUCCACCGUCCCACCGGAGAUCUGCUGCACCUCCACAGUCGGACCAGCUGAGGGCGCUGCAAGGGAGGUGAUGAUGAUGAUGAUGAUAAUGAUGACGAUGAACUACAACUAUGUUGUGAGCACAAGGCAGAACCUCGAUCACUAUCUCAGAACAACUGAAGUGAUUGAGUUGUGUUUUUUCUUCAACAUACUUGAGCCUGUCUUGUCUGAUAAAUGAAGAUAGAGAAAAUCUUGACUUACAAAUGUAUUACCCUCGCCAAGGAGGUUAUGUUUCACCCCUGUCUGUUUCUUGUUCAUUUGUUGGCUGGUUGGUUGGUUUGGUUCAUUUCUUUAAAGUUUUGUGACCUUUUCACAGAUUUCCCAGUUAUUAAAAGGGGAUAUAUUUAGGGGAAUAAUAUCUAUAAGUGUUCAUUUUCAAUACAUCCCCAGGAGAAGAGAGUAUUUUGGAUAUGAACCCUAAAUCUUCAUGGACACGGUCCAACUAAGUGUCUCCAAGUGUGAACUUUUCCAUGGACUCCAGUUGAAUUUGAAACAUAACUCUGGCUCGCUGUCACGACUCUAUCAGAACACCGGCACAGAAACAACACUCGACUUGGGAUUCAUUUUAUAUGAUUUGUCUCAUGCUUGUUAAAAAGCAAUGAAACAAAAAAAAUUGAUGUCACUCGGCCGCUUCCAGUCUCAGUGCGCACGACUGGGAAAAAAACACCAUCAGGCGAAUACAGACAGAUGUUUUAUCAGAACGCGAGUGAGGUCAUCUGCUUUUAUGCCGGACUAACGUCCAGUUGAUGGCUCCGUUUAUCACUGACUUCCAUUUGUCAUGUUCACAUAAACGGCCUCUAAUGGUGCACUCGAUACAAGGAGGACGUUUCCCCUGGUCUGGAAAACACGAGAGGAAAAUAAAAAACAACAGCAAGCAGCCACGACAUAUAAAAGAAGGGGCAAAUCACUAAUACUUGUUGUAAAUAAACAAAUAUUUCAGUCCACAGUAGACACAGUUCUGUCCCUUCCAGGGCAAAGAGAAAGCUAUUCGUUCACCCUCGAUAUUAAACGACAGCGCUACGAAAUACGAUACAGAAGCCGGGAAUCACUUGCAUCUCAGACACAUCAGUAAACACUGUGUGAUUAAACUGCACGGUCGUCGCUGAUACACGCGUUAAAUAUAAACCAGUGUGUAACUAAACGCCGCUGAUUAAUUCUCCCCGGACGAUGGAUUGUUAGCGCAUCAGAAAAGUGGACGGCCUCGUUUUGGUGUGUAAAGAGCGACGUUGUUUGUGGAGCCCCGGUUCCUUAUCACCCUGUGCACAGAUUGUGUUGUGUGUUUUACUGUACACUGGAGCUUCUGGUUAAUGAAAUAUUGGAAAAGAAUUAGAUCAUUUUUUAUCAAAUGCAGAUAAUUAAAGUUGUUCUGCAGACUUUGACCCCGACCAAUGCGGCCUACAAAUGAGACGUGACCGGUGAGGAAACUGCUUUGUGAAAAUGCCGCUUUUACUGCCAUCUGGUGGUUGAAAUGUCAACUUUGAGGAACAUGAAUUGUCAUAGUUACUGCUGUUCAUCUGUUAUUGUAAAUCAGCUCACUAUCAUGUACAACAGCUUCGGG